ensembl:snoRNA SNORA30 small nucleolar RNA SNORA30/SNORA37 family
CCAGCACUUUUCACAGGUCCUCCCCUAGGCUGUGGGGCCAGGAUUUGGUAGCUGGUGCUGAGAGAAAACCCUUGGUUGCAUCCUUGCCCUGGCACUAUGCCAGUGGCAGCUGUUGCUAACGAAAGAGACAGUU